UCCUCGAUCCUAGGCCGCUCUUUUUCACCACGAGGCUAACCUCUAGUCUAACCUCAAGAGAAAAAGAAAAGACACCAAUCGAAUCCAAAUGGAUCUGGAGUCUUCUCACCACAAAGCCAAUCGAAAAACUGAUGUCUUCAUGAUUCAACCCGAAUGACAGCAAAAAUCAGAUGUUAAAGAUCACAAAACAUUCGCUGCAUGGAGCUAUGAUGACUUAGUGUGCACUGUGACAGUGUUGAAAUGUAGGCAUCCAGGCUCUCUGACACGGAGGACCAAGCAAAAAUUAACUGGCAGCACUGAGAGAGAGGGGCUCUUCUCAUCGAUCUGUUUUACAUGCAGUGGCUGAGCUGUACAAAAGGUGAACUAAAGAGAGGUGUCUACAAGAGAGCCAGCUGCUUGAACGAGGGGACGAGAGAUCAAUUAUCUGAGCCAUAAUUAACGACCAUGCAGUACUCCCACACUCAUUUAUGACAAUUGAAUAGAAUUUGCUCGGA